AUCACUUCUCGGCCUUUUGGCUAAGAUCAAGUGUAGUAAAAAAUUAUCCUCUCUAUGCCUGAUAUUCUAAUUUAUCUCAGCAUGCUAGUUUUGUUCUGUUGCUAAAUCUGGCAACUCUAU
rnacentral:snRNA from 1 species